rnacentral:rRNA from 1 species
CAGCCGCCACGGGAAUACGGAGGGUGCGAGCGUUAAUCGGAAUUACUGGGCGUAAAGCGUACGCAGGCGGUUUGUUAAGUCAGAUGUGAAAUCCCCGAGCUUAACUCGGGAACUGCAUUUGAAACUGGCAAGCUAGAGUCUUGUAGAGGGGGGUAGAAUUCCAGGUGUAGCGGUGAAAUGCGUAGAGAUCUGGAGGAAUACCGGUGGCGAAGGCGGCCCCCUGGACAAAGACUGACGCUCAGGUGCGAAAGCGUGGGGAGCAAACAGGAUUAGAUACCCCGGUAGUCCCUGUCUCUUAUAC